GACGAACGUUGGCGGCGUGCUUAACACAUGCAAGUCGAACGGAAAGGCCCUGCUUUUGUGGGGUGCUCGAGUGGCGAACGGGUGAGUAACACGUGAGUAACCUGCCCUUGACUUUGGGAUAACUUCAGGAAACUGGGGCUAAUACCGGAUAGGAGCUCCUGCUGCAUGGUGGGGGUUGGAAAGUUUCGGCGGUUGGGGAUGGACUCGCGGCUUAUCAGCUUGUUGGUGGGGUAGUGGCUUACCAAGGCUUUGACGGGUAGCCGGCCUGAGAGGGUGACCGGCCACAUUGGGACUGAGAUACGGCCCAGACUCCUACGGGAGGCAGCAGUGGGGAAUAUUGCACAGUGGGCGGAAGCCUGAUGCAGCAACGCCGCGUGCGGGAUGACGGCCUUCGGGUUGUAAACCGCUUUCGCCUGUGACGAAGCGUGAGUGACGGUAAUGGGUAAAGAAGCACCGGCUAACUACGUGCCAGCAGCCGCGGUGAUACGUAGGGUGCGAGCGUUGUCCGGAUUUAUUGGGCGUAAAGGGCUCGUAGGUGGUUGAUCGCGUCGGAAGUGUAAUCUUGGGGCUUAACCCUGAGCGUGCUUUCGAUACGGGUUGACUUGAGGAAGGUAGGGGAGAAUGGAAUUCCUGGUGGAGCGGUGGAAUGCGCAGAUAUCAGGAGGAACACCAGUGGCGAAGGCGGUUCUCUGGGCCUUUCCUGACGCUGAGGAGCGAAAGCGUGGGGAGCGAACAGGCUUAGAUACCCUGGUAGUCCACGCUGUAAACGGUGGGUACUAGGUGUGGGGUCCAUUCCACGGGUUCCGUGCCGUAGCUAACGCUUUAAGUACCCCGCCUGGGGAGUACGGCCGCAAGGCUAAAACUCAAAGGAAUUGACGGGGCCCCGCACAAGCGGCGGAGCAUGCGGAUUAAUUCGAUGCAACGCGUAGAACCUUACCUGGGUUUGACAUGGAUCGGGAGUGCUCAGAGAUGGGUGUGCCUCUUUUGGGGUCGGUUCACAGGUGGUGCAUGGCUGUCGUCAGCUCGUGUCGUGAGAUGUUGGGUUAAGUCCCGCAACGAGCGCAACCCUUGUUCACUGUUGCCAGCACGUUAUGGUGGGGACUCAGUGGAGACCGCCGGGGUCAACUCGGAGGAAGGUGGGGAUGACGUCAAGUCAUCAUGCCCCUUAUGUCCAGGGCUUCACGCAUGCUACAAUGGCUGGUACAGAGAGUGGCGAGCCUGUGAGGGUGAGCGAAUCUCGGAAAGCCGGUCUCAGUUCGGAUUGGGGUCUGCAACUCGACCUCAUGAAGUCGGAGUCGCUAGUAAUCGCAGAUCAGCAACGCUGCGGUGAAUACGUUCCCGGGGCU
rnacentral:rRNA from 1 species